rnacentral:rRNA from 1 species
AGAUGAGCGUCGCACGGGUGAGGAGUGCAUAGCAAUCUACCAAGUAGUGGGGGAUAACCUGGGGAAACCCAGGCUAAUACCGCAUACGUCCUACGGGAGAAAGGGGGNUUCGGGUCCCGCUAUUGGAUGAGCCUAUGUCGGAUUANUNAGUUGGUGAGGUAACGGCUCACCAAGACCGCGAUCCGUAGCUGGUCUGAGAGGAUGAUCAGCCACAUCGGGACUGAGACACGGCCCGAACUCCUACGGGAGGCAGCAGUGGGGAAUAUUGGACAAUGGGGGCAACCCUGAUCCAGCCAUGCCGCGUGUGUGAAGAAGGCCCUCGGGUUGUAAAGCACUUUCAGCGAGGAAGAACGCCUGUCGGUUAAUACCCGGCAGGAAAGACAUCACUCGCAGAAGAAGCACCGGCUAACUCCGUGCCAGCAGCCGCGGUAAUACGGAGGGUGCAAGCGUUAAUCGGAAUUACUGGGCGUAAAGCGCGCGUAGGUGGCUUGAUAAGCCGGUUGUGAAAGCCCCGGGCUCAACCUGGGAACGGCAUCCGGAACUGUCAGGCUAGAGUACAGGAGAGGAAGGUAGAAUUCCCGGUGUAGCGGUGAAAUGCGUAGAGAUCGGGAGGAAUACCAGUGGCGAAGGCGGCCUUCUGGACUGACACUGACACUGAGGUGCGAAAGCNNGGGUAGCAAACAGNAUUANAUACNCUGGUAGUCCACGCNGUAAACGAUGUCGACCAGCCNUUNGGGUGCCUAGCGCACUUUUGUGGCGAAAGUUAACCGCGAAA